GGGGUGUGCUCAGAGCAGAGGGCCUGAAGAAUGGCUUCUCUGUUUACAACACACCCAAGAAGAAUCUGGGACCAUUGAAAUGUGGGGCACAAGCAGUUCCUCUGUGUGUGGAUCCCCAUGUGU